rnacentral:rRNA from 1 species
CCUACGGGUGGCAGCAGUGGGGAAUAUUGGACAAUGGGGGGAACCCUGAUCCAGCCAUGCCGCGUGUGUGAAGAAGGCCCUCGGGUUGUAAAGCACUUUCAGUGAGGAAGAACGCCUGGUGGUUAAUACCCAUCAGGAAAGACAUCACUCACAGAAGAAGCACCGGCUAACUCCGUGCCAGCAGCCGCGGUAAUACGGAGGGUGCGAGCGUUAAUCGGAAUUACUGGGCGUAAAGCGCGCGUAGGUGGCUUGAUAAGCCGGUUGUGAAAGCCCCGGGCUCAACCUGGGAACGGCAUCCGGAACUGUCAAGCUAGAGUGCAGGAGAGGAAGGUAGAAUUCCCGGUGUAGCGGUGAAGUGCGUAGAGAUCGGGAGGAAUACCAGUGGCGAAGGCGGCCUUCUGGACUGACACUGACACUGAGGUGCGAAAGCGUGGGUAGCAAACAGGAUUAGAUACCCUAGUAGUC